rnacentral:miRNA from 1 species
AGUAGUGAUCUAAACGCUCUUA